rnacentral:rRNA from 1 species
UACGUAGGGGGCAAGCGUUGUCCGGAUUUAUUGGGCGUAAAGAGCGUGUAGGCGGCCAGACAAGUCUGCUGUGAAAACUCGAGGCUCAACCUCGAGCUGUCGGUGGAAACUGUCUGGCUAGAGUCCGGAAGAGGAGAGUGGAAUUCCUGGUGUAGCGGUGAAAUGCGCAGAUAUCAGGAAGAACACCUAUGGCGAAGGCAGCUCUCUGGGACGGUACUGACGCUGAGACGCGAAAGCGUGGGUAGCAAACAGG